UCUGAACCCAUCAGAAAGACAUUUACUGGGUGCACUGGAGAGAAGGGAAAAAUUAAAGGAAAAUUAACAAUGAAGGAGGGAAUGGGGAAGGUGGCGGCAGCGGAUGAAGUGCUCCGGGAGGUGGGCAGGGGCCAUGGCUAUUGUGAAAGAUUUUGAAGAGAAAUGUGGGACUCCCGAUAUCAGGCUUAAGCAGGUGGCCGACGCCAUGGCGGUGGAAAUGCAUGCCGGGCGGGAGCAAGCUGAAUAUGCUCAUUAGCUAUGUGGAUAAUCUCCCAACAUGGUACAUACUGCAUUUUAUGAUCACCUUGUUUAUAUGGAUAGAUUGUGUGAAAUAGAGUAAAUUUUGUAUGUGCUCUAGAAGUAGGAAACAGAUCUAUGUUACGCCGGGUUUGGUAAUAAGGAUUGGAUAGAAUCCCAUACUGUUCAGUCCUGUUGAUCACAAGUACUAAACAUGCAUUUAGAGUAUGAGGAUGUGUAAUCGUACUAAAAUGGAUAUGAUAAGAAAUGAACUGUGCAAUUCCAAAGUGGCACGGUCCUUGACUAAAUCUGGUGAAAAAAUUAGCAAAAUUUUCAGUACUUGAUGAUAAAAUCAACUAUUUUUCCUUUAAAGAAGAAGUCAGGACAAUGUGUCAAUAUUGAAGUAAAUCUUUCAUAAUGCAGAUGUAGAGAAAAUAUUGAUUCUUGAUUCGGUUAUUAAACUCAUUAGUUGGAUUAGUUAGUGAGUUAGAAAAUCAGUUAGGAGCCUUUGGUUCUAACUAAUUUUCUGGUAGUUGUUGUAGCUGAAUAUUAGAUGUAUUUUCUUGUAAAUCUCUACAUUCCUUUGUCUAUAAAUAGGAUAGAGGGCUGUAUAAGUGAAGUGUGAGCAAGAGGGGGAUAUCUGUAGAUAGAGAAAGUAAGGUAGUGUGAGAUAGAAUUCUCUGUAACACAAGUCCUUGUAAACUUUCUGGUUAUUCCCGGUUGGGUGGUGAGUGGUGGUGUUUUGGGUAAGAUAAACACUGUAAUAUUCUUCUUGAAUGGCAGAUUGACUGGGGGUUAAAUUCCCUGCAUUGGUUGAUGAAAUUUAGUCCCUAAAACAAGCUAUUCUUGUGUCCAUUUAUCUGAGUUCUUUGCUGGUUUUAUAUUCUGCCAUUUCUGCUGCAUUCUCUCCUGCCUGUCAUGCAAAUCUGUGAAGAUCAUUGUUUCCUGGGACAUGGGAGAUUGGUAAAAAUCCUAAUAGCAGUUUACCAAUAUGGAAUGGGGUAACUUUAGGUCAUUGACGGAGCAUUACCAUUCAAUGGAUCUCAAAAUUUUAAAUCCUGGUGAACAGGUGACUAAUCUUUAAUUCUUGUUACAGAUAUUUGAGAAGAUGACUUCUGGCAUGUAAUUUGAGAGAAAUUCUGCGGGGAGUUCUACUCAAGAUAGCUGAAGAAGCUGCAUUUUUUGGGGACGAAAUUCCUGCAAAACUUAAAUUUUCAUUUGUUUUGAGGUAUUCCCUGAAGACCAUUGAUUUUUAUUAAGCUAAUUGCCUUGCUCUUAUUUUAUAAACGGAUGUCUGUUUAACUGCAUUGAUCCUUAUCCAUUACUUCCUUCUUCAUAUUAAUUUUCCACUUGUAGCUUUUCCGAGUUUAUUUUCUACACUUUUAUAUUCCAUAUGGAGUCGAUACUUGGGAAUAAAAGUUAAAUUCUGAGCUAGAAAAUAUGGAGGACGCCUGAUUUUUUGGGUAAGAUCCAUUGAUGUUUCUUGAUUGCUUCUUCUAUUCAUUGUUAGAUAUUCAGUUUCAUGUCGUGUUAUAGAAUGUCUUUCGUUACAAUUACA
rnacentral:lncRNA from 1 species